UCCGUAGGUGAACCUGCGGAAGGAUCAUUACCGAGUGAGGGCCCUCUGGGUCCAACCUCCCACCCGUGUUUAUUUUACCUUGUUGCUUCGGCGGGCCCGCCUUUACUGGCCGCCGGGGGGCUCACGCUCCCGGGCCCGCGCCCGCCGAAGACACCCCCGAACUCUGUCUGAAGAUUGCAGUCUGAGUGAAAACGAAAUUAUUUAAAACUUUCAACAACGGAUCUCUUGGUUCCGGCAUCGAUGAAGAACGCAGCGAAAUGCGAUACGUAAUGUGAAUUGCAAAUUCAGUGAAUCAUCGAGUCUUUGAACGCACAUUGCGCCCCCUGGUAUUCCGGGGGGCAUGCCUGUCCGAGCGUCAUUGCUGCCCUCAAGCCCGGCUUGUGUGUUGGGCCCCGUCCCCCGAUCCCGGGGGACGGGCCCGAAAGGCAGCGGCGGCACCGCGUCCGGUCCUCGAGCGUAUGGGGCUUUGUCACCCGCUCCGUAGGCCCGGCCGGCGCCUGCCGAUCAACCCCAAAUUUUUAAUCCAGGUUGACCUCGGAUCAGGUAGGGAUACCCGCUGAACUUAAGCAUAUCAAUAAGCGGAGG
rnacentral:rRNA from 1 species